rnacentral:lncRNA from 1 species
UUUCACCAUGUUGGUCAGGUUGGUGUCGAACUUCCGACCAGGUGACCCACCCAUCUCGGCCUCCCAAAGUGCUGGGAUUACAGGCGUGAGCCACCGCACCCGGCCAACUCUAUUAUUUUUAAAAAACACAGAUUUCUAAAACAUGUAGUACCCAACGACAAGAGUGAGACCCCUAAAGUAACAGAUGACUAUGGACACUGUGAAGAAGUCGAGCAACAAGCAUGGGGCUUCAAUGAAAGACUGGUAAAGUCAUGUUCUGAUUUGUAUUAUCAUAGCAUUAAAAUGAGGAAUAAAAUCACCUUAGACAUUUCACUUGAUGUUGUUCUGAACUAUAAUAAAAAAAAAUCAGGUUGCAUUAUCCUUCCCAAAUAUCACAUCCGCUCUCUCAGCAGGUCUAGCCUUGCAAGGAGAUAUUUUCAAAGUAACCAGAGUUUUCGGCCCCAGAGCAGAGAAUGAUCACCAUAACACAGGCAGCGUCCAUCCCUAGCCCCUGCUGACCAAAUGGCAUGCAGGAGAAAUGAGGUGGCUGGAAGAUGUCUCCGUGGAAUAGAGGUUCCUAGACUCAUGAACCUUAGGGAGGAAGAAACAAAUGGCUCUCUCCUUGGGGAACUUUCUCACUCUUCUCCGGCACCGCUCCUGCCUUUCCAGAGAAUGGGGUCUGCUUGUUUGCAAAUCCAGAGUACCAACUGGGUCAACCGAUGGAUCUUUGUGGAACUCCUCUGAUAAGCCUACAGUGGUUCAAGCACCGUACAGGCAGACUGAAGACAGAAAGAAGUGUGAGUCACAGAGUCUCUUCCAAAUUUCAGACCUGUGGCAGCUUCCCAGAGGCUGGAGUAGACCAGAAGAGAAUGACUAAGGCAUGAUGUUCUGGGAGUUACAGUCCUGGCACGUAAUUGUGAAUAUGGCACAAAAUGAGGCGGUGGGUGUCCAGACUGCACCUAACAAUGGGAGCCUGAGAGCAAAUGGCUGGAAGGUCAGGAAGGCAGGAGACUGUCAGUAGCAAGAGCAGGUCUGGGGUGACGUUGGCUCCUUGAGAAAUGAAAACUUCAUCAUAAGAAUCUGUGAAAAUGGGGAAAAUGGGUAAAUGAGGACAGAUUCAAAAUUGGAAGAAAACAGAAAAAUCUCUGUUCUUUUUUUCUAAUUGUUCUUUUAAUGAAAUCAGUACUGCCCUUUGGCAUUAACGAUCAUAUG